UCUGCUUGCAGGAAAGGAAGAAAAGCAGGCCCAAGAUUAUUCUGAGACAACUGGAGGGUGACAAGACUUAAGUAGAGAAAUACUGGUUUCACAUUUUGAGCCAACCAGAUAAUCUGUGGAUACAUUUUGUAGUCCAUUGUAGAUCCCCAAACAACCAGAUGCCUUUUUUCUUCUUUGGAAUCAGUAGGAUUUAAAUAAUAUGCCUGGAAGACUUCUGAACCACUAGCAUCUUCAAGUUCCUGGCUAAAUUUACAGCCUCUUGUGUUCAGCACCUGGAUUGUGCUCAGGAUGGCAAGAGAACAAAGCAAUCUGCUUGCUGUACUUGGGAUAGAGAAGACCUGCACGAGAAAGCCAGAUAUUCAAGAUGGUGUGAUUUCUAUCACAAGCUCUGAAGCCCAAAGCACUGCUUCCCAAUACAUCACUUUUCUCUUCUCCCCGGAGUAGACAUUUUACAAAGUGGUUGAUGUUGC
rnacentral:lncRNA from 10 species